CAGGGGAAGAACAAGGAAGAUGGGAGGAGGGUGUUGAUUGCCCAACUAAGUGAAGAGUUGAGAAGCCUCGGUCCCAUUCAGGGAAGGUAGAAAGCAUGUACUGCCAGCAGGGAGCAAGACAAAGAACUCAAGGGUGCUUUCAAAGGGAGUAACAAGGCAGGACACGCAGCUCUGGAAGCCAGGUCAGGACACGAGCUCAAGCUGCGCCUCCUCCCUUGUCAGUGCCGUGGCUUGGGCAAGCACUGCAACAUGGCGGAGCUUCAUUUCCAUUCCCUGCAAGGACGUGGUGGUUGUUCUGGCUGCUUCCUAGGAUUCAAGAAUGGUCAUCAAAAUGACUGUGUUGAGCGUUUCUAUGUACCAGGUGCUAU
rnacentral:lncRNA from 1 species